GGUAGAAUUUUAAGAUGAGCCGUGUGUGGGUGGCAGCGACGGUGGCCGCCGUGCGGGCGCAGAGGGAGAGGGCGGCGGGUGCGGGGUCGCGGGACCGGCUUGCCGGGCUCGCCCCCCAGGCCGCCGCGCUCGGGGCGGCGCGGGCGGCCGCCGACGACGGCCGGAGGCAGGCCGGCGCCGACGAGUCGCUCCGCAAGGCCAUGUACCUCAGCUGCUGGGGCCCGAGCUGAUCACGACGCCGCGCCGGCCCUCGCGGGGACGGGAUAGAGCGACCUGUGGAUCUUGUGGGGCCUCGAUGGGCUUGAGCUUGGGCCGGGCGCACUUGGGUAGCAGCAAUCAUGUCUCGUCACAGUAUGUUUCUGGUUGGAAGGGGGAACAAACAUGUGCAAACCUUUGGAAAUUGAGGAUGGUGGAGUGGAUGUACUGUACAUACAAAUGCUAGUACUUCCUGUACAUAUUUCAUGCAAUUAAUUGGAAAACGGGAUGGUUUCAGCUUACGUUGG
rnacentral:lncRNA from 1 species